UCAGUAACGGCGAGUGAAGCGGUAAAAGCUCAAAUUUGAAAUCUGGCUCUUUUAGAGUCCGAGUUGUAAUUUGUAGAAGAUGCUUCGGGUGUGGUUCCGGUCUAAGUUCCUUGGAACAGGACGUCAUAGAGGGUGAGAAUCCCGUAUGUGACUGGAUACCUACGCUCAUGUGAAGCUCUUUCGACGAGUCGAGUUGUUUGGGAAUGCAGCUCAAAAUGGGUGGUAUAUUUCAUCUAAAGCUAAAUAUUGGCCAGAGACCGAUAGCGCACAAGUAGAGUGAUCGAAAGAUGAAAAGCACUUUGGAAAGAGAGUUAAACAGUACGUGAAAUUGUUGAAAGGGAAGCGCUUGCAAUCAGACUUGCACCUGGUGUUCAUGGGGGGUUUUGUGCCCCUUGUACUUCAUCAGGUUCAGGCCAGCAUCGGUUUGGGUGGUUAGAUAAAGGCCUUGAGAAUGUGGCCCUCUUCGGGGGGUGUUAUAGCUCUCGGUGCAAUGUAGCCUACCUGGACCGAGGACCGCGCUUCGGCUAGGAUGCUGGCGUAAUGGUUGUAAGCGACCCGUCUUGAAACACGGACCAAGGAGUGUACCUAAUAUGCGAGUGUUUGGGUGUUAAACCCAUACGCGUAAUGAAAGUGAACGGAGGUGAGAGCCCUUUAGGGUGCAUCAUCGACCGAUCCUGAUGUCUUCGGAUGGAUUUGAGUAAGAGCAUAUUGGGUGCGACCCGAAAGAUGGUGAUCUAUACGUGAAUAGGGUGAAGCCAGAGGAAACUCUGGUGGAGGCUCGCAGCGGUUCUGACGUGCAAAUCGAUCGUCAAAUUUGCGUAUAGGGGCGAAAGACUAAUCGAACCAU
rnacentral:rRNA from 1 species